rnacentral:lncRNA from 1 species
UGUGCCUGGGUCCCGGCGACCCUCCUCAGGGCCACCGAAAGGUCUUGGGGCUUGGGGCGGGGGCGGGGGGGGCGGUCCCUGCCCGUGGGAGCCUCCCCGGCCCCGCAGUCCCAGCAGCAAACUGCGUUUGGUCGGACGGGAUGCCCGCGCAGAGAGAAGUUGAGAGAAGGCAUGCCUUUGGAGGCUGGACCUGGAGGUCAUUUCUGAGCAAGAAUUCCGGGAAUCCUUCAGGUCUUCAAUCUCUGUUCGCUGCACCUGUGUAGAGAUGGUUCCAGGGAGGAGCCUGAGUGGGCGAUUCAGUUCCAGAGCCGCACUAGUAGCACCACCCAAACUUGGAAAAAGAAUCAUGUUGAUCGCCAGAGAAAGAAUCUCAUCGGAAGUAGACUUCAUUCAGAGGGGCGCCAGUAGCAAAGAGGCUCCUGGAUUGCAUUCUGACUGCCCUGGAGGGAGGAUGUGACCAUUGGUGUAGGAGGCGACGAGACAACCUGGUCAGCAGAGAUGUAUCACAGCGGUGCACUCGCCCAGCACUUUCCCACCCACAACCCGCGUCAGACCUGGCUUCGUCUUUAAUCCUCCAGCCUUGGGAGUGGAAUGACAGACCUACUUCAGAGGUCUUGCCUGCCCUCGAGCCCUCCCCACCCCCAUCCCCCUCCACCGCGUCCCGGAUUCCUGUGGUGCGGUGCGGGGCUUGUGUUCACUCACAGAGGCCGUCAGACACGGUGCGCGGUAGUUUUCUUCACUUUAGAAGGUAGCAAACUGUUUUCAAAGGUGGGAUAUUUUCAGAGGAAGGAUUCCAAGACUCAUUCCCCUAGAUAUCGGGCUCUGUGGGACGCGCGGGGCGUAGGUCUGUUCAGGUCACAGAGCUUCGCACGCCUAAGCCCGCAGAGAGCUGUUCUUUUAGUGGUGCUGAAAGCGAGGCCAGCUCUGCCGGGUUGCCUACAAGCUGUCUAUAACUCAGCCACUACCCUCCUUCCUGCUUAGAGUCACAGGCUGAAUGAUUCACUAUUGUCUGGCAACAAAUCCUGGUAGCCACCUAAUAGAUCUGAUUGUUUCCAGUUGCAAUGUUCCCCUUCCCCAAUCCUUCCUUCACUGAGCACCGAGUGAUCUUUCCUUGUUGGUUUGAAUGUUUAAAAAUUAUGUUUAUCUAUCUAUCUAUGUUUUUUUCCGAGACAGGGUUUCUCUGCAUAGCCUUGGCUGUCCUGGAACUCUGUACACCAGGCUGGCCACAAACUCAGAAAUUUGCCUGCCUCUGCCUCCCAAGUCUUGGGAUUAAAGGUAUGCAUGUACCAUCAUGCCUGGAUGCUUAAUUAUUUUUUUUAAUGUGUAGGGUAUAUUUUCUGCUUGCAUUUAUGGUGCCCAAGGAGGCCUGAAGAGGGCAUUGAAUCUUCUGGAACUGGAAUUGCAGAUGAUUGUGAGCCAUCCCUCAGGUGUGUGUGUGCUAGGACUCAAACCUGUUUCUCUGGGAGAUUAGCCAGUGCUCAUAGCCAUUGCGCCAUCUCCCCAGCUCCUCUCCUUUUGCUCAGACGUGCCCCAUGUAUCACAGGCUGAGGCUGACCUGGCAAUUCUGAGCCUCUGACUUCCACCAGCUAGGAUUGCAUGAGGCCAGUGCGUGCAUGCUCUUCUUGCUCCCUCUCAGGAUGCACAAGCCAGGCUCAUGCUAUCCUGCUAAGCUACACCAGCAGCACUAGAACAACUCCUUAUCCCCUCACAGCCUCUGCUUCCCUUUCCUUCUUUUCUUUUCUCUUUUCCUUUUUGAGACAAAGUCUCAGUUUAUAGCCCAGGCUGGCCUGGAACUUUCUACAUAGUCUGAGAUAGCCUAAAAUCUGCAGUCCUCCUGCCUGUGUCUUGCAAGUGCUUGGUUUACAGCUAUGUGUCACCAUGCCCAGCUAGAGUGGCAAUGAUCAAGGGGCAAAAGUGAUCACCCCUGAAGUCCAUCUACAGUCUUGAUGUCAUGCAAAAUAAAGCAAAGUUCUUGCCACAGUGAAGAGGUCCCUUCUCUCUGACAAUAAUCUAGUGCCUGCCUCCUAUCACCUGUCAAGAUGGAGCCACUGCCAAGCCCUGGCUUAAUUCUAGUGUGUUGAAGAUAAAGCCAUUAAGAUUUAACAGGGAGCCUGGAUUGUGGUAAAUACCUUUAAUCCCAGUACUCGGGAGGUAGAAACAGGCAGAUCUCCGAGCUCAAGCCAAGCCUGGUCCACAGAGUGAAUUCUAGGACAGCCUGGGCUACACAGAGAAACCCUGUCUCUAAACAAAACAAAAACAAAAAACAACCAACCAACCAAACAAACAAAGAUUUGCCAAGAGGUGGGAGGUGAAUUGUGGGAAGAACUGUAAAGCCAGGCAGUCUGUGGUGGUACUUAUUAUCUAGACCUGCGUGUCAUCUUGCCUCCAAAAGCACAUCAUGGUGCGAUGGCAGGGAGGCUCUGGUAGCAUCAAUGAUGCCGAGCAGAGUGAUUCUGCAGCUCAGGACUUUACCCACUUUCUGACAUGCUUUGCCCCUACCCCACGCCCAUUUCGGGGGAGGAAGCACAUGACAGAUGUGAAGUGAGUGGCCCACGGUCACACAGCUAGACAGUCACAACUCCAACUCCAAAAGAGCAGGUGAGCCCAGGGACUUCAUCUCCGGCAGAGGCAUGAAGAUGCUGACCCUGGGGCCAGACAGCCUGUGUGUUAUCCCAACUCUGCCAGUUAAGGACUUAAUCUCCCCGUGACUGUGUUUCCUUGUCAGAAGAGACAGCAGUCCCCCUGCUAGCCUCACUGUGAAGACUGAGGAGAUAGUACGUAUGUCCUGCAGUCAUCAGUCCUGUUCCUACUGUUCUGAAUCUGAGCUCCUCCCUGACCAUGGCGAGCAAGUCCAGAAGGCAGGCUGAGAAUUUCUUGCCUCAUCAUCCUGGAUGUGCAGGAGCAGAGAGGGCAGAGGACAGAGGAGGGGCCGCGUGACUGCCUAGGCUCCUAAGCAAUUUACUGAAGGAGCUCAUUUGGCAACUCUGAUUCCAAGUUAAUUAAAGAUGGCCACUAGGGGUCGUUGCCAUGGUGACAAUUAGGCCAGAAAGAAGCCUCAUUAAGGUGUGGUUUUAACUAGGCCAGUCGUUUUUAACCUAAGGUCUGUGGGAAAGGGAGUCAGCCUGCCGCCCCCCCCUCUCCUCCGUGUUCAGAUCUGUUUCCAGGCAGUUCUGGCUGAGGAUGGAGGCAGAGGAGGGGUCCUGAGCUGAGCCCUCCUGAGUCCCAGCAGGGCAACAGGUUUCUCUGUGGCACUCACCCUGUCUGUGAGGCAGAAGCCUUAGGGUGGGUGGAGGCCAUGAUGCCAGAGCAGGCAGAGAAGAGGGGGAUUUUAUUCAGAGUGGCCCGGGAGACCUUAUCACCCAAUCUGCUUCCCAAACUGAGUGAGGCGAGCUGAGCCGAGCUGUGGGUGAUAAUGGAGCACAGGAAACUUAUUUCUUCUGUGUUGAAUUGAGAACGCCAGGAGCUCAAAGACUGUCUCAGUUCACAGCACUGUAAUGUGUUUGAGCUAGGCAUGGCGGUACCCACCUCCUAUCUCAGGACUAAGACAAGAAGAUAGUGACAUCCUGGCCAGCCUCUGCCUCAUAGUGAGAUUCUGUUUCAUGGAGGUAGAGUGGGGGCGGGGGAGGAACAAGAUUAGUGAGAUGGCUCAGCCUUUAACUUGCUUCUCUCUCUCUCUCUCUGUUUUGUUUGUUUGUUUGUUUUGUUCGUUUUAGUUUUUUGUUUGUUUUUUGUUUUGCUUUUUGUUUUUUGUUUUUGUUGUUGUUGAGACAGGGUUUCUCUGUGUUAGCCCUGGCUGUCCUGGAACUCACACUGUAGACCAGGCUGGCCUCGAACUCAGAAAUAUGUCUGCCUCUGCCUCCCAAGUGCUGGAAUUAAAGGCAUGUGCCACCACUGCCUGACAACUUGCUUCUCUUGAAGUGGGCCUGCCUGGGCUUGGUACUGGAACCCACAUGGUGGCUUAUGAAGUCUGUAACUCCAGUUCCAAGGAACCUGGUGCCCUCUUCUGGUCUUUAUGGGCACCAGACAUGCUUUUCAUGCAGUUAUCUACAUGCAAAUGAAAACUCUCAUACCCAUAAAAUAUAAAUAGAUCAAUCUCUCUUAAAGAAAUCAAGAGGCUGGGCUGAAGGGAUGUUGAGAGCACUGGCUGCUCUUCCAGAGGACCAGGGUCCAGUUCUGAUGCCUUCCUCAGGCCUCCCCAGAAACUGCAAGGGUGGGGUGUACAGACUCACACAGGACAAACAUCCAUGCAUCUAACAAUAAGUAAAUAAAUACUUUAAAAAAAAAUCAAGGGGCUGUGGAAAUGCCUUAGUCAAUAAAGCAGUUUCCAUAGAGGCAUGAAGAAUGGAGUUACGAUCUACAACAUCCACAUAAAAAGCCAGGAGGACUGGUGGGCAUCUGUAAUCCCAGGGCUGGGUAGACAGAGCCAGGUACAGUUCUGGAGCUCGCCGACUAAUACAGCCAAGUGAAUCCAUAUCAAUGAGAAACCCUGUCUCCAGAAAUAAAGUAGAAGAUUCGGAGAGAUGACCCACCAGCUAAAAGCGUUUGCUAUACCUGGGGACUGGGGUUUGGUUUACCAGCACCCACACAGUGGAUCACAACUCCAUCCAUAACUCCAGUUCCAGGGAAUCCAGUGAGCUCAUCUGACCUCCAAGGACAGAAAGCAUGCGUGUGGUGCACAUACACACAUGCUGUCAAAUCACAGACACAUGGAAAAGAAAAACAAAGAAAUCUUUAAGAAUAAAUAAGACAGAGAGUAACUAAGGAAGGCCCUUGACUGCAUGCACGUGUACAGUGUGCACCUGAAUGUGUCUAUGAGUUCACUCAACACACACACAUGCAUUUGCCACACACAAAGAAGUAAAGUAUGUGCUCUCUGCCCAAUAGUGAUAUAAAUGCACUGAUGAGAACAGGAAUUCCCAGGUAAGCACAAAGAGAGACCACCCCCUGACGUACAUCACCCUGGACACGAUGUCUGCUGACACUGUCCAUAUAGUAAGCAGAGUGCAGCCUAUAGGGAGCUGGGUCCAAAGACGGGAGAAGGGGGACCUGGGCUUUGGUGUUUGUGCCCUUUUCAACUGUUUGUACUUUAUCAGGAAAAUGUCAAAUAAACUGCAGUGGAAACACCAGCU